rnacentral:lncRNA from 1 species
AUUGACACAUUGUAAAAUUUUUCCUUGAGUCAUAUGUGUACAUCUGUUACAUAUGUUUUUUGCACUACUCAGUGGGAUUCUUAAUUUUUCUUCUUAGCUACUAACUUUAUUUUCGUCAGAAAACUGCUUUUAUAUGUAAGAUUUUCAAAACUAAAGAAUAUUCCUUUUACUGUAAUAUAACUACACAAAAAAAUAUGAAGAGAAAUAAACAAUUUUAUUUGCAAAAUCUAGAUUUCAACUAGUGGGAAGACCUGUGAGCAGCUCUGCCUGAAGUUGGUCAUGUUUUUGAAAUACACCAUACAAUUUUUAAAAUAUAAUUUAGCAGAAAAUACAAUUUUAGAAAAAUAUAAUUUAGCAGACCUUAAAAUACUUGUUAACUUGUACUUAAUGGCAAAAUUAAAUACAAGUUAAGAAGUGUUUUAUUAUGUUGCCUUUUUGAAUUCCUAAAGAUAAAAAGUAGUUUCCAUAGUUUCCAAUAAAUGAGUUUUUCUUUUUUCCAGGGGUGGAAGCAGAAGAAUGGGGUAAAUUUCUUCACACCAAAAAUAAGCUUUACACGGAUUUUGAUGAAAUUCGACAAGAAAUUGAAAAUGAAACAGAAAGA